rnacentral:rRNA from 1 species
UACGUAGGGUGCAAGCGUUGUCCGGAAUUAUUGGGCGUAAAGAGCUCGUAGGCGGUCUGUCGCGUCUGCUGUGAAAACUCAGGGCUUAACCCUGAGCUUGCAGUGGGUACGGGCAGACUAGAGUGCGGUAGGGGAGACUGGAAUUCCUGGUGUAGCGGUGAAAUGCGCAGAUAUCAGGAGGAACACCGGUGGCGAAGGCGGGGUCUCUGGGCCGGUACU